GCCCUUGAUAAUUAUCAAAGGUGUAACCUGCCCAAUGGUUUUAAAUUUAUUAGAAAUAACUAAUUCUAAAAUAAAACUUAAAGGACGCAGUAUCCUGACUGUGAUAAUGUAGCAUAAUCACUCGCCAUUUAAUUGAUGGAUAGUAUGAAUGGUUGAACGAAUAUUACACUGUCUUAAGUAGAAACCCAAUGAAAUUAAAAUAAUAGUUAAGAUGCUAUUUAAAACUGUAAGACGAAAAGACCCUAUAGAGCUUAACUACAACCUUUUUUUACAUUUUAAGGUCUAAAAAAACCAAUUAAUAAAAAGGCGGGUAGUUUAGUUGGGGCGACUAUCUUUUAAAAAUAACAAAGACAAGCAACGUUAAAGAAAAAACUUAUUGUAAAAUUUAUAAAUUUAACAAUUACUAAAGUAGGCCAUAAUGACCCGCUAGGUGGAAAUAAUACCCCUAACGAUCAAUAAAUAAAAGCUACCUUAGGGAUAACAGGAUAAUUUUGUUUUAGAGAUCCUAUCGAAAACAAAGUUUGUCACCUCUAUGUUGAAUUAAGAUAUCCCGAUAGUGCAGAAGCUAUCAAAGGUGGGUCUGUUCGACCUAUAAAAUCUU
rnacentral:rRNA from 1 species